CUGGAAGUUCUGGAGUGCAAGGGCACAGGAUGGACACUCAUGCCACAGCUGGGCUUGGCCUCUGAGUCUCCCUGGCAUCUGAUUUCUACCUGUCCUGGGGUCCGAUGUGUGGACAUUUCCAUGAGUCUCUGCUUGCUCUCAGCCCGACCUCUGCUCACCCUCUGCCGGUCUCAUCUCUGCCUCUGUGUCCUGCUCCGGGGUCUCUGUCUGCCCCUCUCUAACGUCACUACUCCUGGCCUUACCGAUUUUCCUCACAUCUGAAGGUGACCCAGGAUUUCUUCCCUUGCCAGAUGGCCAGCCAUAAAUGAGCCAAAGAUGCCCCAUCUUCCAGCAAGCCCAGAUGAGGAGGGUCUUGGGAAAGGAAGUUCCAGCUGGAGGAAGUGAAGGAGAAGAAAG